AGUGAACGCUGGCGGUAGGCCUAACACAUGCAAGUCGAACGGCAGCACAGUAAGAGCUUGCUCUUACGGGUGGCGAGUGGCGGACGGGUGAGGAAUACAUCGGAAUCUACUUUUUCGUGGGGGAUAACGUAGGGAAACUUCCGCUACUACCGCAUACGACCUACGGGUGAAAGCAGGGGAUCUUCGGACCUUGCGCGAUUGAAUGAGCCGAUGUCGGAUUAGCUAGUUGGCGGGGUAAAGGCCCACCAAGGCGACGAUCCGUAGCUGGUCUGAGAGGAUGAUCGGCCACACUGGAACUGAGACACGGUCCAGACUCCUACGGGAGGCAGCAGUAGGGAAUAUUCGGCAAUGGGCGCAAGCCUGAUCCAGCCAUGCCGCGUGGGUGAAGAAGGCCUUCGGGUUGUAAAGCCCUUUUGUUGGGAAAGAAAAUCUGCAGGUUAAUACGCCGCUGUUCUGACGGUACCCAAAGAAUAAGCACCGGCUAACUUCGUG
rnacentral:rRNA from 1 species